GAUGAACGCUGGCGGCGUGCCUAAUACAUGCAAGUCGAGCGAACGGACGAGAAGCUUGCUUCUCUGAUGUUAGCGGCGGACGGGUGAGUAACACGUGGAUAACCUACUUAUAAGACUGGGAUAACUUCGGGAAACCGGAGCUAAUACCGGAUAAUAUUUUGAACCGCAUGGUUCAAAAGUGAAAGACGGUCUUGCUGUCACUUAUAGAUGGAUCCGCGCUGCAUUAGCUAGUUGGUAAGGUAACGGCUUACCAAGGCAACGAUGCAUAGCCGACCUGAGAGGGUGAUCGGCCACACUGGAACUGAGACACGGUCCAGACUCCUACGGGAGGCAGCAGUAGGGAGUCUUCCGCAAUGGGCGAAAGCCUGACGGAGCAACGCCACGUGAGUGAUGAAGGUCUUCGGAUCGUAAAACUCUGUUAUUAGGGAAGAACAUAUGUGUAAGUAACUGUGCACAUCUUGACGGUACCUAAUCAGAAAGCCACGGCUAACUACGUG
rnacentral:rRNA from 1 species